rnacentral:tRNA from 1 species
GGGGCUGGGGCUCAGCGGUAGAGCGCUCGCCUGGCACGCGUGAGGCCCCGGGUUCAAUCCUCAGCACCA